GACGAACGCUGGCGGCGUGCCUAACACAUGCAAGUCGUACGGGACGAGAGGGGCAACUCUUUCGUUCAGUGGCAGACGGGUGCGUAACACGUGAGGAACUUGUCCAACGGUGGGGGAUAGCCGGCCCAACGGCCGGGUAAUACCGCGUACGCUCGUUUGGAGGCAUCUCCGAGCGAGGAAAGCAGCCGCAAGGUUGCGCCGAUGGAGAGUCUCGCGGCCUAUCAGCUAGUUGGCGGGGUCACGGCCCACCAAGGCGACGACGGGUAGCUGGUCUGAGAGGAUGAUCAGCCACAUUGGGACUGAGACACGGCCCAGACUCCUACGGGAGGCAGCAGUGGGGAAUAUUGCGCAAUGGCCGCAAGGCUGACGCAGCGACGCCGCGUGUGGGAUGACGGUCUUCGGAUUGUAAACCACUGUCGGGAGGAACGAAUACCAGGCCUCGAAUAGGGGACCUGGGGUGACGGUACCUCCAAAGGAAGCACCGGCUAACUCCGUGC
rnacentral:rRNA from 1 species